rnacentral:lncRNA from 1 species
AAAGUCGGAACCUGCUCGUCGGCAGCUCCCGGCGCUGCCUUGACUCGCAGCCAGGCCUGGCGCGGCCGCCGGCUGUGGAAUGUGUGAGCGCCAUGUGUCACCGCCCCAGACUGUGGGAAAACGCUGCUCCGCUCACCUCCCAGCAGCUGCCCCGCGCCCGCCCGGGCGGGAGCCGGGAAACAGGAGCCGCCUGCCGCGGAGGCCGCCCGGGGGCACUUCCGAGCGCGCGCCGCCUGCCCGGCCGCCCCCGCGCCCGCCGCGUCUCCCCGCCCACACCCCGCUGCCACCCGGCCCCGGGCGCCACCCGCGGAGCAGGCGGCGGGAGGGACAGCCCGGCACGGCCCCUUUCCUGCCCUUCACACCCCUUCUGCUUCUCAGGGGACGCUGGUCCACAGACCGAGGCCCCGUUGCGCGCGGCCGCCUUCGGAGCGCCGCCCUCCUCCCGAAACCGGCCGGGGCGAGUGGCUGCAAGAAGCUGCGGUUUGGCCCGCGGGAGAGGGGGGCUUCCCCGCUGGGGUUGUCUGACGCGAACGCCUUCCUGGCCCCAGCCAGGCGCCCUGAGAUGAUGAAGGUUUAAGAAGCAGCAUCAUCAGCGAACUGUGUUUUGAAGAUUUGAGGGAAGGGCUGACCUCAGGAUUUUAUACUAGUUGCUGACCUCCAUAACAGCAGACAAAAUUGGAAGCAAGAGUGAUUUUGGAGGAGUCACACUUAGAUGUUUCCCUUACCUAUUUCUGUUCUGGAAAUUUAAAAAUCUUACUUCUCGUGACAGUCCUACAUGAAAAAUUAAAAAUCACAAGGAUUCAUGGAUGGAAAACUGAGACUCAGAGAAUGAUCACAUUCACAUCGUAAUAAAUCAGCAAUAGAGUGAGUGAUUGUUCCUUGGUAAGAAAUCAACUCUAAACUCAGUUGGAAACCUUUGCCAAUAUUACUUAACACAUGACAAUCUGGUGUGACUCAUUUUUCUUGACAUUAUGCAAAUAAAGGAAACAAGACUGAGUGGCCUUCUGUCCGGAGAGCAGGAAAUGAAGGCUGUCUGGGGCCACAUGUUUCCUGGGACAUGUGGUGUCAGAAAUGGGUACUAGAAGAACCAGGCCUUUGUUCAUGUCUUUUAUUUUUUAUUUUUGUUUUUUUUUAGAUGGAGUCUCACUCUGUCGCCCAGGCUGAAGUGCAGUGGCACUGUCUCGGCUCAUUGCGACCUCCGCCUCACCGGUUCAAGCAAUUCUCCUGCCUCAGCCUCCCGAGUAGCUGGGAUUAUAGGCGCCCGCCACUACACCCAGCUAAUUUUUGUAUUUUUAGUAGAGACAUGGUUUCACCAUGUUAGCCAGGCUGGUCUAGAACUCAUGACCUCGUGAUCCACCCGCCUCCGCCUCCCAAAGUGCUGGGAUUACAGGCGUGAGCCACGGUGCCUGGCUGCCAUUGUUCAUUUCUAUUUCAUGAGUGAUCGGCUCUUGUUGGCCAUGGCUGGAGGAGUCAGCUCCCAAAAUCCACACUCUCUAGGAGUGCUGAACCAUAAAUAAUCUAUCAGGACUCCUAGAUUCCACUCUCUAGAGCUGCAACCAGAAGUUCCUUCCUUCCCGGCCCUGCUUCCCACUAAAGGAAACAUUUGACUUUUGGGGAUGAGAUGUUUCAAGCCAGCCAAUCCUUCUCACAGGAAGCAGAACCCCAGCCACCAUGGAGCUUAUCCUUGGGGCGCAGAGAAACACUGACCUAAUGCUGUAAUCAAGUACUGGAUUUUAUUUUUAAAUCUUUUUACCUCACAAGCUGACUUUAUUCUGGCUAGAGGGCUCCUGAACCUCUGUAAACUCCCCAGGAGGUAAUUUCCAGUGCUAAUCUCGCUAACGAGGUGUCAGUUACAGAAAUGGCCCACGCCCUGGUUUCUUCUAAGUGGACAUUACAGUGUUUCUUCAGAGGGGCCUGUGCUGGGACACCUCGGAAAUGGAAGAAUUUAUAGCAAGGAUGUUAUUUCUCACUAAGUGAGCAGAAGAGCUGGAAGAUCUCUUUAGAGAUCAUUAGAAGGAUGGGGAAACUGAGGCUCAGAGAAGGGCAGUGGCUGCCCGAGGCCACAGAGCUGAGUGGCAGCAGGGUUGGGUUAGAGACUGGACCUUGUGGCGGAGCUGGCCUGCUUUGGGCUGUUCCACACACCACUGACUUUCUAGAUUGUUUCAUGUUCAUGGAAUCAUCCUCAAACUCUACUCCCCAAAAUUGUACCAUAGAUUAACUUCGGGCACCCCCCAAGUCAAAACUUCAACAGCUAAGGGACACGGAUCAUGCGGCCUGCUGAACACGCCAUCAAGUGGGGCAAAGUCUUCUUUCUUUGUGAUCAGGGUAUGCACUCUCCCUUGGCCUCUGAAUAAGCUGUACCCAGGGUUCCUCGAUGACUCAGCUGCAGCAGGCUAUCCACCACACAUGUCCGUGGCCACCACGGCGGGAACCGGGCUCACCAUCACUUACCACUAGAGAUGUCAAACCACCCCCCUCCUAACCCAGGCCCCACUGCGGCCUCCCUGCCCUGCUCCAGCCUCGGUCUGUUGUGCAAGAGCCAGAGGGGACUUACGAUCACGGAGCCACACGCCCAGGCCCAACCCAGGCCCAGGAGCUCCACCCUAGGGAAACGCCUAAGUCAGAACAGAGCACUCCUAACCCCCCGGGGCAAGGAGGGGAGGCCAGGCAGCCGGAAGGAAACUCCUGAGCUUUUUACGGAAUGCACAAGACAAAAGCCAUGUUUUGUUCAGUCCUUCAGAAGAUAGAAAUUGAACACCUGACUUGUGGACAGCACCUCUAAACACUGCAGAGAGAGAUUCAGAGAUGAAUAGCCCUGGCCCUUAGGGUUCUUGCGGUCACAAGCACCGUCCAGUAAGAGCAGCCCAUGGUUAUGAGUAACAAGAGCAGACACUACGGCAGGCACUUGGUUUAGGGACAUUGCCUUGUUUCAUCCUCACGGUGACUUCAGGAGGACAGUGCCAUCGUUACGCCGUUUAACAGAUGGUAAAACUGAGGCCCAGAGAGGGGAGUGCCUUGCUUCAGAUGACUCAGCAACGCAGUGGCUGAGCAAGGAUUUGAACUCAGGCAGAAUGGUGGCAGAGCCUGUUUGCCUAACUUCUAAAUUUCCCUAACUCUCUAGAACAGAGGGUAGUAGGAGUGCAGCAGACAGGACAACUAACCCUGCCUGGAAAAGUCAUGGUGGGCUUCCCGGAGGAGGCGUCCUUAGGCUGGGGCUUGAAGACGAGGUAUUUACCAGACAAAUAGUGGAGAAGAAGGCUGUCUUAAACAGAAAAAACUUCUUAUGUGGUCCUGGGUUCUGAGGGCCCAGCUCUUCUCACCCUCCUUCUCCGAGGAGUGGGGGAACGGAAGUGCAGAGCCUUCGUGUUUUACCCUCCUUCUCCGAGGAGUGGGGAACGGAAGUGCAGAGCCUUUAUGUUUUGUGACAGUGGAAUCCCCUUCGCGGGCCACCUCCUCGAUCUGAAAGGCUCUAUCUGCAGCUACUGAAUUCCCUUCAGCUCGUAAGUCUUAAUAGCAAUGUCAUCCCCUUCUGAAAACUUUCCUGGACUGCUCCUUAUCUUGCUGCCGGUGAUUGAAAGCAAUCCUUUCCUCUCUCUUCCCUCACACCUGCCUGUUUGCAUUAAAGUUCUUGAGUUGGACUCCAUCAGUCUUUAUUUUUUAUUUGUUUAAUUUAUUUUUUAGAGACAGGGUCUCACAAUGUCACCCAGGCUGGAGAGCCGUGGCAUGAUAAUGGCUUACUGCAGCCUCAUCCUCCUGGCCUCAAGCAAUCCUCCUGCCUCAGCCUGCCAAGUAACUAGGACUACAGGUGUGUGCCACCAUGCCUGGCUAAUUUUAUUUUAUUUUUUUGAGACAGAGUCUUGCUCUGUAGCCCAGUCUGGAGUGCAAUGGCGUCAUCUCGGCUCACUGCAAGCUCCGCCUCCUGGGUUCAAGCGAUUCUCCUGUCUCAGCCUCCAGAGUAGCUGGGAUUACAGGCGUGUGCCACCAUGCCCAGCUAAUUUUUGUAUUUUUAGUAGAGAGGGGGUUUCACCAUGUUGGCCAGGCUGGUCUCGAACUCCUGACCUCAGGUGAUCUGCCUUCCUCAGCCUCCCAAACUGUUGGGAUUACAGGCGUGAGCCGCUGCACCUGGCCUCUGGCUAAUUUAAAAAAAUUUUUUGGCCAGACACGGUGGCUUCCAUCUUUAAUACCGGCACUUCAGGAGGCCAAGGCAGGAGAUUUGCUUGAGCCCAGUAGUUUGAGACCAGUCUGGGCAACAUAAGAAGACCCCCAUCUCUACAAAAAAAAAAAUAAAUAAAAAAAAAAAAAAUAAGCCAGGCAUGGUGGCGCUCGUCUGUGGUCCCAGCUAAUACGGAGGUUAAGGUGCAAGGAUUGCAUGAGCCUGGGAGGUCAAGGCUGCAGUGAACUCUGAUCACAUUCCAGCCUGUGACUGUACUCCAGCCUGAGUGACAGAGCAAGACCCUGUCUCAAAAUAAAUAAAUACAUACAUACAUAAAUAAAUAAGUUUAAUUUAAAAAUAAAUUUAUUUCUGUAGAGAUGGGUCUCACUCUUUUGCCCAGGCUGGUCUUGAACUCCUGGCCUCAAGUGAUUCUCCCAAGUUGACCCCCCAAAGUGCUGGAAUUAUAGGCAUAAGCCACUGCACCCAGCCCAUUAGUGUUUAUUACUAGACUGUGAGUUCCUGGAGAGCACUGGUAUACUCAUUUGCUUCUUACUUGCUUCUGCCCAGGCUGGUUUAGUAUCCUACUCAUAGAAGGUUCUUAGUAACCGCAUUUGGUGAAUAAAUGGAGGAGAGUGGGAAGGCUGUGAUCGAAUAGGUAUCUCUUGUCUCCUCUUUACCCCUUGAUAAAUUUCACAAUCAAGCAAGCUAAAAAUGGAGAUGUGUGUCUCCACCAGACAAGGUCUGGACCACUCUCUGCCAAGACAGCACGAAGAGCAGGACACUGCCAGCAACCAGCACGCUUGCUUUCCAUUAAGCGGAUCCUUUGUGCUGAAACAGAUUUGCAGUCCUGCCAAACCAGACGAUGCUGCUGGCAGGAAGAUGCACAUGGUCUGAUGUUAAUGCAAGAGUGAGAAAACCUCUGUGGCACAGUCAUGGGAG